AUACUCUCGCUCUCACUGACAUAUAUUUCUCUGUCUGUUUCACUAUAUUGUCAGUUACGGACACUGUGUUCUCGCACUACACGGGCAAACGGAUAUUUCUGCGUGAUACUGUCGCAAAGGUACUGUGUGGAGCCAUAAUGAAAUCGGUACAACUGCUCCUGUUUUCCAUUGUCUUUCUAGGAACGGUGGUCGUCGUAAGAAACUUUGGCUAUGGUCACACACGUAUAAGUAACUCACCAUAUCUGUCGCAUUAUGCUGCAUCGAGGAUUAGGACAACUACAGUCGCCACGACCACGUACUCCAGUAAAGCACACAAACAUGGCACAAUUUUCCAAAGGUACCAUCCGCAAGGUCACGGAGGAUACGGCCAUGGAGGAGGAUAUGGUCACGGAGGAGGAUACGGCCACGGAGGAGGGUACGGCCACGGAGGAGGAUACGGCCACGGAGGAGGAUACGGUCACGGAGGAGGAUACGGUCACGGAGGAUACGGCUUUGGUGGUGCUGGUUAUGGAGGGUAUGGCAAGAAAAAGUAGAACACAUAUCAGGAGUAGAUAAUAGGGAAAUUCCCUAUUAUCUACUCCUGACACAUAUCCUGCUCUAUAUACCACUAUUAUCAGGGUUGAAUGAUCAGACCUGCCAUUAUCCACCCCUGAUUUUAUCCAACUACACAUUGAAAGUUUCAUUAUUUGUUUAUGCGUAGCUUGUUGUUGUUGUUGUUGGUUUUUAUUUAACAGCUGUUUAUUAUUGCCACAGUGGAAACGGGGUUCACGCUAAGGAUAAUAACGCAGCAACGAGCUUAAAUGACGUAAUUUGUUUUGCUGACUUUAUUAGUGUAGCAGUAUAUCAAAUGUUUGCUGUUUUUAUACCUAGUUAUGUAUUGUUAAUUUUCGUCCGUUUUACCAUAAUAGAAUGUUUGGUUACUGAUGUUACUUUAUGGGGGUAAUUGCUAUUUAAUUAUUGAUUUUUAUGCAAAUUUGUCCUUUAAAUCGAUAAGCAAUCUUAUAACUUUGACAGAAAAUAUAAUCUCGUAAAAUGUAUCUAUAUACGUCUAUUGAAUGCUUUAAUUAAGUGCGCGUACUUUCCAUUGUGUGGUAUUUGUCUUAAUACAAAUAGUUGCCAUUAUGAACAGCCUGUCCUUGAUUUCACAAGGAUACCACGUUAAAUUAUUGUUAAACAUGUUAUAUUGUAUAACUAGAUUAUUGCUAUGUAUAGUGUUACUUUAGCUGAUAGUAUAGUGUUACAUUUCCACAAUCCACGCAACAAUAAAGUGUGAAACUAUAGCAUCCUAUACCUGCUGUUUCAUUCUAACCGA